rnacentral:rRNA from 1 species
UACGAAGGGGGCUAGCGUUGCUCGGAUUGACUGGGCGUAAAGGGCGCGUAGGCGGUUCGUACAGUCAGACGUGAAAUUCCUGGGCUCAACCUGGGGGCUGCGUUUGAUACGUGCGGACUUGAGUGCGGAAGAGGGUCGUGGAAUUCCCAGUGUAGAGGUGAAAUUCGUAGAUAUUGGGAAGAACACCGGUGGCGAAGGCGGCGACCUGGUCCGAUACUGACGCUGUAGCGCGAAAGCGUGGGGAGCGAACGGG